UAGCCGUAAACGAUACUCGCUAGGUGUCGGCCACGGUGCGACCGUUGUCGGUGCCGUAGGGAAGCCGUGAAGCGAGCCACCUGGGAAGUACGGCCGCAAGGCUGAAACUUAGAGGAAUUGGCGGGGGAGCACAACAACGGGUGGAGCUUGCGGUUUAAUUGGAUUCAACGCCGGAAAUCUUACCGGGACCGACAGCAACAUGAAGGCCAAGCUGAAGACUUUGCCGGAUUAGCUGAGAGGAGGUGCAUGGCGUAGU
rnacentral:rRNA from 1 species